rnacentral:ncRNA from 1 species
UUUUGAUUCUUCGAUGUCGGCUCUUCCUAUCAUUGUGAAGCAGAAUUCACCAAGCGUCGGAUUGUUCACCCGCAAAUAGGGAACGUGAGCUGGGUUUAGACCGUCGUGAGACAGGUUAGUUUUACCCUACCGAUGGAGCGUUAUUGGGCAAGUAGAGCAACUCAGUACGAGAGGAACCGUUGUUCGACAGAAUUGGUCUUGCGGUUGGUCGAGGGGCCACGCCGCGCAGCUACCCUGUCUAGGAUUACGGCUGAACGCCUCUAAGCCGGAAACCAUGCUUAGGCAAGCAGUAACGGGAAACUGGAUGCAAGUGGCGAGCGGCGCAGAAGCGCAGAGUAGGGCAGUGCAAGCUGUCGGCAACGCGGGGGGGAGACUCGGUCCUUGCCUUUUUCAUGAAGCUGUGGGGCAAGGGCUGGUCUUUGAGAUGUGGAGUACGCGGUAGUCACUUGCGUGGAUCCUCUGUAGAUGACUUUGUUCGCAUGGGGAGUUGUAGGAAGCUGAGUGGCCGAGUUUGCCACGAACUUUUGAGACCUUGCCCUAUCUUUUUAGAGU